CAGUAACCGGAACUAAAUACGCGUUUAUUAUGUGGUGGGUCGUAUACGAGUGAUGUACGUUUACUAGUUUAUUGUUUGAAACAUUAACAGUUUCAGUACUCCGAACAUGAAUCGGAACAAUAGGAUGGGACAAAUAAUAAUUAAUAAACACUCGAAGUUAAACAUUGUGGGACUUGGGGAAAAUCCUUCACGGAUGGUAUGUAGAUUGAAUUUAAAAAUCAAUAAUUAUUAUUAAACAAUCUCAUUUUAAUCGAUGAAGUUGUUUAACUGCGCAGUGAUAACUUUAGAAAAUAAGUGACUGCAAUGACAUAAUUGACUACGCAUACAAAUUCACAUUUUUUUUUCUUUCUGUAAUCUUGAAUCCGCCGUUAUAGAGUAUUGACGUAUUUAUAUUAUAAAACUAUAUUAUCGUAAUUGAAUGCGACGUGGUUGAUAAGCAAUUUUUCCGUAUUACUUCUCUUGAAUUCGCUAUUUAUCAACAAACGCACUCUCUUCAAAACCACAGUACAGCGAAAUGGCACAAUUUCCGCAUAUUACCAGUAUAGAACUUAAACCAAGGCCAUUUUUUUGUCAGUAUGUUGUUUAUUGGAUAACAUCGUAUAGAUAGUACCUACCUACCAAAUUCAAUGUCAGCUGGAUAGUUUUAAGAGAAAUGCAAAUAAAUACAUCGUAAUUAUUAGUUUGUAUGUUUGAGUAUGCUUAAGAAAACAAGUCUAAAUCUGUAAUUAACGUGCAAAAGACAAAACUCAUCCUUGAAAACCACGCAUGUCGUAAUCGGUUUGAAAACAAUAAUAAUAUUUUUUCGAUUUUUUUUUUUUUAACCCAUAUAACAGUAUUAUGUAUCAUAGCAUUAUAGGGAUCGAGCUAACAACAACACACAAUACUCACAGUAAAAGUAAAAAGUAAUAGUAUUUUCUGGGGAAACUUGGCAUUAUUGAUUUUAAAUUUUUAAUGUAUAUCACGCAAUAUGUCUAGCCACUGCAGUAUUAUAAUUUAUUCGUUACAGUUAAUAAUUAAUAGCAAAUACGAAGGAAAACGUCCGUGGUCAUAAGUAUAAAAUAAAGUGAAUGAUAAGCUCAGACUGUAGACUUGCAGGUUUUAGCGUGAACGCGUUUGUUCUUAGACGAAAAAAAUUUACUGUUUAAAGUUGAUUACCAGCGACACGUCACGCGUGACCCGAUAAAAAUGUUUUUUCGUUUAAUUAUUAUCGUAAUGUAUUUUUUUAAAUUGUGCUACGCGGUAUAUUCGACGAAAAAUGAUCGAAUAAACGAACCAGUCUGUAUAUAAUAAUAUCAUGUUAUAAACUAUAUUCCAGCACGUCCAUAUAAUUAUUGAUGUAAUCGUUUCAGGCUCACCACUUGGCAUAUUAAAAUAAAUGGCUCGUCUAUUCGAUUCUCAUAUUAUAUUAUUUGAAUCGAUAUUAUACUGAUCUUAUUAAAUGUCUAUAAAUAACAUAUAGGCCGAUAAACUGGGACAAGUGCAAUGCAAAUUAUAAUAAUAAAAUAAAAAUUUCAACAACGGUUCCAUCAUUGCAGUUGAAGAUUUCUUCCGAUAAUCGUUCAGAACAUUUUUGAUGACUGUUUAGUUUUCAUCACUGAAUAAAAAUGUUAUUAGAAAAAAAUAUUCGAAUUACGAAAUGGGUAAAUAAAUAUCACCUUCGUUUGAGUACCUGGUUACAGAAACAUUGAAGGCAACGAAAAAGCAUGUAGCAAAGAGCAAUAAAAUCAAUAGUAGAAUCUAUAAACCCGUAAUGUAUAAAAUUCAUAAAUAUUAUAUUUUUUACAGACAUGAAAUAAUACCUACAGAUAAAAGAUAAAAUAAUGAUUAAAUAGCAACAUUUUAAUUUAAAUAGAAAAAAAAACAAUAAUAAUAAAAUAAAAAACUUCGUAUUUUUUUUUAUACUUGUGAGUUGUGAGUUCCUAUACAAUAGCAGAAAAAAAAAAUAAAAUAAAAAAAUGACCGACCAACAUGUAAAAUACGUGCAACGAUACGUCGAUACUUACAGUGAAACACAUCAUAAUAAAUCACCACUAAAUAUCAUCGACCUUACCAGUUUUAAUACACCACUCCAGUACAUUAUUUGCAUGCAGCAAUAGAAUUCUUUAAAGACAAAUUUGUACAAAAAGAAUUAUCAAAUUAAAUUGUAUAUAAUAUAAUGAAACAAAAACUUUAACAAAAAUUAGUUAAGCUACUAUUUAGUUGUUGAAAUUAUACACAUAUAACUUAUGUAAUUAUUAUAAGUUUAUGUUAAAAUGUAUGUACAUAAAAAAAAACUAAUAAUAACGAUAAUGUUAUUAAAAUCUUGAUCAUUGCAUAAUAUUCGGUAAAUAAAACUUACUGACAUUAAUACAAAAAUACUUAUAUUAAGGCUUGAAAAUACUUUGGACACAAGAAUUUUUCUCAAGAAAGGCAAAGAAAUCUCACGAGAAAAAAAUCUCGUUUUUUGAAUACAAAAUUUAAUAUCAAUAAAUCUAAUCAACGAAAAAUUCCACAAGGUUCCGACAAAGAGAUUGAAACCACUUUAUUUCGCAAUAUUUUCGUAUUUUAAAAUUCGUUGGGAAAUAGUUUGUUAGUAUUUAAUUAAACACAUUUUUUUUUAAGACUGUUGUUUUUUCAAUAUCCCAUUCCAUUUUUUUUUACAUGUUUUCUAUUUCUAUACUCACGAUAAUAUUAUAUUUACUUAACCAACAGUUAUUUAUACUAGAUAAAUAGAUAUUUAGCGAAUAGCUAAUUAAAUAUAAUUGCAUAAUUUAUGUAGGUAAAUGAAACUUUUGCGACUCUGCUAAUAUUGUAUUUCAAUUAAUCCAUAAACAGCACAUGAUUCAAAGUUCAACACUUAAAAGCCUAAAAACAAUGAAUUGUACGACGCAAUGAAUAACAUUCUAUAUGCAAAAGUUUUUAAAACAUAUUUUUUCUUAAGAUCAAAUAACUUAAAACUGCAUAGUAUGAAAAAUGUUGUUUUCUCGGCCAACCGAUAAUGUACCAUACGUUUGUAAAUUUAAGCUAAAAAUGUAAUUUUAAAUAUUAUUGGUUUAAAUUGUUAUUGAUGCUUUAUAUACUACACAUUUAUUUAUUUUUUUUACAGGGAAAUUAGUACUAUUAUAUAAUAAUAAUAUUAUUAUUAUGUAUACUUACAGAGUUAUAUUAUAAACCUUCAUAGAAUUCUAUACUAUGUGGUUUAAAAUUUCAUAAACUUGAUCGUUGACAAACGCGUAUGCUAAAACAUUUUAAGUAUGACGCAUGUACAACUGGUUUUAUGUACUAGUACUACAAUCAGAAUCCAUUAGCUAUUUUUUUCUUCAGUAUUUUCUUCAUUCUGUUAAAAUGUAUUUAAGUACGAUAAACCGAAUAACAUUCUACAUAACAUUUUUU